rnacentral:rRNA from 1 species
UCCUACGGGAGGCAGCAGUGAGGAAUUUUCCGCAAUGGGCGAAAGCCUGACGGAGCAAUGCCGCGUGGAGGAUGAAGGCCCGUGGGUUGUAAACUCCUUUUCUUAGAGAAGAAGAUCUGACGGUAUCUAAGGAAUAAGCAUCGGCUAACUCCGUGCCAGCAGCCGCGGUAAUACGGAGGAUGCAAGCGUUAUCCGGAAUCAUUGGGCGUAAAGGGUCCUGAGGUGGCCUGCCCAGUCCGCUGUGAAAGAUCAGGGCUCAACCCUGAAUAUGCGGUGGAAACUAGCAGGCUAGAAUACGGUAGGGGCAGGGGGAAUUCCCGGUGUAGCGGUGAAAUGCAUAGAUAUCGGGAAGAACACCAACGGCGAAGGCACCCUGCUGGGCCGAUAUUGACACUGACAGACGAGAGCUAGGGGAGCGAAUGGGAUUAGAUACCCCAGUAGUCCUAGCCGUAAACGAUGGAUACCAAGUGCUGAACGACUCAAAACGUGCAGUGCUGCAGCUAACGCGCUAAGUAUCCCGCCUGGGGAGUAUGCCCGCAAGGGUGAAACUCAAAUGAAUUGACGGGG